rnacentral:rRNA from 1 species
GACGAACGCUGGCGGCGUGCUUAACACAUGCAAGUCGAACGGACAGGCCCUGCUUUUGUGCGGUGGUCGAGUGGCGCAGGGGUGAGUAACACGUGAGUACCCUCCACUUGACUGUGGGAUAACUUCAGGGAACUCGGGCUAUUACAGGGUAGGAGCUACUGCUGCAUGGUGGGCGUUGGAAAGAUUCGGCGGUUGGGGAUGGUCUCGCGGCUUAUGCGCUUGUUGGGUGGGUAGUGGCUUACCAAGGCUUUGAAGGGUAGCCGGCCUGGGAGGGUAGACGGCCACAUUACGCCUGCGAUACGCCCCAGACGCCAACGGUAGGCAGCGGGGGAGAAUAUUGCACAGUGGGCGGAAGCGUGAGGCGGCGCCGCCGCGUGCGUGAAGACGUCCUUCUGGUUGUAAACCGCUUUCGCCUGAGACGAAGCGUUAGUGACGGUAACGGGUAAAGAAGCACCGGCUAACUACGUG